rnacentral:rRNA from 1 species
GGGUCAGUAGGUUGGUCGUGCCACCGGUACGUACUGGUCUCACUGAUUCCUCCUUCCUGAAGAGCCGUAAUGCCAUUAAUUUGGUGGUGCGGGGAAACAGGACUGUUACUUUGAAAAAAUUAGAGUGUUUAAAGCAAGCUAACGCUUGAAUACAUUAGCAUGGAAUAAUGAAAUAGGACGAUCGAUCCUAUUUUGUUGGUUUCUAGGAUUGACGUA